GAUCCUGGCUCAGGAUGAACGCUGACAGAAUGCUUAACACAUGCAAGUCUACUUGAACUUCGGUUUGGGUGGCGGACGGGUGAGUAAUACAUAAGUAACCUGGCAUCUACAGGGGGAUAACUGAUGGAAACGUCAGCUAAGACCGCAUAGGUGUAGAGAUCGCAUGAACUCUAUAUGAAAAGUGCUACGGGACUGGUAGAUGAUGGACUUAUGGCGCAUUAGCUUGUUGG
rnacentral:rRNA from 1 species